rnacentral:rRNA from 1 species
UGAGGAAUAUUGCGCAAUGGGGGCAACCCUGACGCAGCGACGCCGCGUGGAUGAUGAAGGCCCUUGGGUCGUAAAAUCCUGUCAGAUGGAAAGAAAUGUAUGGGUGUUAAUAUCGCCUGUAUUUGACGGUACCAUCAAAGGAAGCACCGGCUAACUCCGUGCCAGCAGCCGCGGUAAUACGGAGGGUGCGAACGUUGUUCGGAAUUACUGGGCGUAAAGCGCGCGUAGGCGGUUUGCUUAGUCAGAUGUGAAAGUCCUCGGCUUAACCGGGGACGUGCAUUUGAAACUGGCAGACUUGAGUACUGGAGGGGGUGGUGGAAUUCCCGGUGUAGAGGUGAAAUUCGUAGAUAUCGGGAGGAAUACCGGUGGCGAAGGCGACCACCUGGCCAGAUACUGACGCUGAGGUGCGAAAGCGUGGGGAGCAAACAG